GACGAACGCUGGCGGCGUGCUUAACACAUGCAAGUCGAACGGAAAGGCCCUGCUUUUGUGGGGUGCUCGAGUGGCGAACGGGUGAGUAACACGUGAGUAACCUGCCCUUGACUUUGGGAUAACUUCAGGAAACUGGGGCUAAUACCGGAUAGGAGCUCCUGCUGCAUGGUGGGGGUUGGAAAGUUUCGGCGGUCGGGGAUGGACUCGCGGCUUAUCAGCUUGUUGGUGGGGUAGUGGCUUACCGAGGCUUUGACGGGUAGCCGGCCUGAGAGGGUGACCGGACAAAUUGGGACUGGGAUAGGGCCCAGACUCCUACGGGGGGCAGCAGUGGGGAAUAUUGCGAAAUGGGCGGAAGCCUGAUGCAGCAACGCCGGGGGCGGGAGGACGGCCUUCGGGGUGUAACCCGCUUUCGCCUGUGACGAAGCGUGAGUGACGGUAAUGGGUAAAGAAGCACCGGCUAACUACGUG
rnacentral:rRNA from 1 species